rnacentral:rRNA from 1 species
UAAAUAGCCGCAAUUAGUGCUAAGGUAGCAUAAUCACUUGGCCUUUUAAAUAAAGACUAGAACAAACGAUUUAACAUUUAAAUUAAUUUAUUUUUAAUUAAAAUCAAAAUUCUUUAAGAUGUAAAAAAACAUCUAUUUCAAAGAAAGACGACAAGACCCUAUUGAACUUAACUUAAGUUAAACUGGGGAAGUAAAUUAAUUAUUAUUUUAAUUAAAAUUACAAAUCAAACAUCUUUUAUAAUCAAAUAAUCAAGUUACCAUAGGGAUAACAGCAUAAUUAAAUUUUAAAGUCCUCAUUUAAAAAAUAGUUUAUGACCUCGAUGUUGAAUUAAUAUUCUUAAUUAAAGCAAAUUUUAAUAUAAGAAAGUCUGUUCGACUUUCAAAAAAUUACAUGAUUUGAGUUCAGACCGGUGUAAGCCAGGUCGGUUUCUAUCUUCUUUAUCUUUUUAUGUAGUACGAAAGGACCUAUAAAUAAAAUUAUAUUUUCUUAAUUGGCAGAUCAAUGCAUUAGAAUUAGAAUCUAAUUAUAAUAUA